rnacentral:misc_RNA from 1 species
GCAAAGUAUUGACUAUUGUGAAAAGGAAACACUAAUUGAACAUUGACGUUUUAAUAAAUUUAAGGAUUAAAUUAAAUUUUAAUAUAACCAAAUUUCUAACUAUAGUCUGCCUUGAGCCCAUUGCGAAGUAUUCAUGGAAACAUAUAUCCAAUGAUCAGUUCUUUGUGCAUAGCCCACGGGCCCCAUUACAUACAUGCAAAACAAGGGCCGACCGGCCUAGGCAAGUUGAAAAUGUACCGUUUGUCGACCUAUCACCUACCCCAUGUGCCCCACAUGAAGGGUCGGUCUAAUGCUUCCCCUGUUUCCCAUUCCCUUGCCUAUGAUUUGACUGAGUAAAGAAGACACCGCGUCCUUCAAAACUAAAUAGCCUCCGUUUAUCAAAACCCCAGACAAGCUCCCGAAACAGUCAUCACAUCAAACCGCACCGUAUAGCCAUGAAAGUCGCUACAUUUUUGUGUCUAACAGUAACUGCGCUCAUGAUCACUGCAGCCGCAUCGCAGACGCCUCCAACUGCUUAUACCAACCAUACUGUCGGCGGCAAUGCCGGCUGGUUCUUCAAUUCCACCACUAACAUCUCCGCCGCUAACUAUUCAUCUUGGGCUGCUAUGCAGACCUUCAAUCUAGGGGACUUCCUCAGUAAGCUUCAUUUCAAAAAAAAUUCUUGUAAUCAUACUUUUCAAUUGGAGUCUAAAAUUUCCCCCCUUUUUAUUGGAUCUGUGCAGUUUUCAACACGAAUUCGAAUCAGACGGUGAUCCAGACCUACAACGAGAGCACAUUUAAGAGCUGCACAACGGACGAUGCAUCGGAUAAUGAUACGAUCCAGUACGACGGUGGCAGCAUGGUGUUUGGUGAAGCGUUGAUCAUCCCUGUGCCGUUGACUAUCAAAGGUCCAAACUAUUUCUUCUCCGAUGCUGAUGACGGCACUCAGUGCCAGCGUGGUCUGUCCUUCGAGAUCCAAGUCAACCAGGGCCUUGGCUUGCCGCCCAGCCUUAACCAGCCGCCACCGCCUCCUUACAUAGCGCCUCCUGGUCCGGACUCCGCUCAGUCCCCGCCUAUUACUAUUCCGGGAGGAUCGCAGGCGCCUGGCAACUCCGGGGUUAAGGAUGGUGCUAAUGUGCGUGGUGUUGCGUGCGCCCUUCUGUUUGGUGUUGCUAGCUUUUCUUUGUUCUAGGCUUUAGCAUCGCACGCAGUGUAGAGUUGUGGGGUUGCUACGUGUUGUUUGGUAAUUUGCGUAGACGUGUGAAUGCAGGGGCCACUUUUUGGCUCUUCCCACAGAUAAUCAUUACUCUGGAAUGGAUUACAGAACCGGUGCUCCUGUUAAUGUUUUACUUGAAACAAAUGAAAGGGAUACAUAGUUUCUUUUUUCUAUUAAAAA